rnacentral:rRNA from 1 species
GGGUUGUGAGGUUAAGUGACUAAGCGUACACGGUGGAUGCCUAGGCAGUCAGAGGCGAUGAAGGGCGUGCUAAUCUGCGAAAAGCGUCGGUAAGGUGAUAUGAACCGUUACAACCGGCGAUACCCGAAUGGGGAAACCCAGUGUGUUUCGACACACUAUCAUGUCAUGAAUACAUAGUGGCAUGAGGCGAACCGGGGGAACUGAAACAUCUAAGUACCCCGAGGAAAAGAAAUCAACCGAGAUUCCCCCAGUAGCGGCGAGCGAACGGGGAGGAGCCCAGAACCUGAAUCGGCUUGUGUGUUAGUGGAAGCGUCUGGAAAGUCGCGCAGCAAGGGUGAUAGCCCCGUACACUAAAAUGCACAGGUCGUGAGUUCGAUGAGUAGGGCGGGACACGUGACAUCCUGUCUGAAUAUGGGGACCAUCCUCCAAGGCUAAAUACUCCUGACUGACCGAUAGUGAACCAGUACCGUGAGGAAAGGCGAAAAGAACCCCGGCGAGGGGAGUGAAAUAGAACCUGAAACCGUGUACGUACAAGCAGUGGGAGCACCUUCGUGGUGUGACUGCGUACCUUUUGUAUAAUGGGUCAGCGACUUAUAUUUUGUAGCAAGGUUAACCGUAUAGGGGAGCCGUAGGAAACCGAGUCUUAACUGGGCGAAUAGUUGCAAGGUAUAGACCCGAAACCCGGUGAUCUAGCCAUGGGCAGGUUGAAGGUUGGGUAACACUAACUGGAGGACCGAACCGACUAAUGUUGAAAAAUUAGCGGAUGACUUGUGGCUGGGGGUGAAAGGCCAAUCAAACCGGGAGAUAGCUGGUUCUCCCGAAAGCUAUUUAGGUAGCGCCUCGUGAACUCAUCUUCGGGGGUAGAGCACUGUUUCGGCUAGGGGGCCAUCCCGGCUUACCAAACCGAUGCAAACUCCGAAUACCGAAGAAUGUUAUCACGGGAGACACACGGCGGGUGCUAACGUCCGUCGUGAAGAGGGAAACAACCCAGACCGCCAGCUAAGGUCCCAAAGUCAUGGUUAAGUGGGAAACGAUGUGGGAAGGCAUAGACAGCCAGGAUGUUGGCUUAGAAGCAGCCAUCAUUUAAAGAAAGCGUAAUAGCUCACUGGUCGAGUCGGCCUGCGCGGAAGAUGUAACGGGGCUAAACCAUGCACCGAAGCUGCGGCAGCGACGCUUAGGCGUUGUUGGGUAGGGGAGCGUUCUGUAAGCCGUUGAAGGUGGCCUGUGAGGGUUGCUGGAGGUAUCAGAAGUGCGAAUGCUGACAUAAGUAACGAUAAAGCGGGUGAAAAGCCCGCUCGCCGGAAGACCAAGGGUUCCUGUCCAACGUUAAUCGGGGCAGGGUGAGUCGACCCCUAAGGCGAGGCUGAAAAGCGUAGUCGAUGGGAAACAGGUUAAUAUUCCUGUACUUGGUGUUACUGCGAAGGGGACGGAGAAGGCUAGGCUAGCCGGGCGACGGUUGUCCCGGUUUAAGCGUGUAGGGGGUGUGACCUGGUAAAUCCGGUUACAUACUAACCCUGAGGCGUGAUGACGAUGCACUACGGUGCAGAAGUAGUUGAUGCCCUGCUUCCAGGAAAAGCCUCUAAGCUCUAGGUAACAUUGAAUCGUACCCCAAACCGACACAGGUGGUCAGGUAGAGAAUACCAAGGCGCUUGAGAGAACUCGGGUGAAGGAACUAGGCAAAAUGGUGCCGUAACUUCGGGAGAAGGCACGCUGGCAUGUAGGUGAAGUCCCUUGCGGAUGGAGCUGAAGCCAGUCGAAGAUACCAGCUGGCUGCAACUGUUUAAUAAAAACACAGCACUGUGCAAACACGAAAGUGGACGUAUACGGUGUGACGCCUGCCCGGUGCUGGAAGGUUAAUUGAUGGGGUCAGCCGCAAGGCGAAGCUCUUGAUCGAAGCCCCAGUAAACGGCGGCCGUAACUAUAACGGUCCUAAGGUAGCGAAAUUCCUUGUCGGGUAAGUUCCGACCUGCACGAAUGGCGUAAUGAUGGCCAGGCUGUCUCCACCCGAGACUCAGUGAAAUUGAACUCGCUGUGAAGAUGCAGUGUACCCGCGGCAAGACGGAAAGACCCCGUGAACCUUUACUAUAGCUUGACACUGAACAUUGAGCCUUGAUGUGUAGGAUAGGUGGGAGGCUUUGAAGCGUGGACGCCAGUCUGCGUGGAGCCAUCCUUGAAAUACCACCCUUUAAUGUUUGAUGUUCUAACUCGGCCCCAUAAUCUGGGGUGAGGACAGUGUCUGGUGGGUAGUUUGACUGGGGCGGUCUCCUCCCAAAGAGUAACGGAGGAGCACGAAGGUUAGCUAAUCACGGUCGGACAUCGUGAGGUUAGUGCAAAGGCAUAAGCUAGCUUGACUGCGAGAGUGACGGCUCGAGCAGGUACGAAAGUAGGUCUUAGUGAUCCGGUGGUUCUGAAUGGAAGGGCCAUCGCUCAACGGAUAAAAGGUACUCCGGGGAUAACAGGCUGAUACCGCCCAAGAGUUCAUAUCGACGGCGGUGUUUGGCACCUCGAUGUCGGCUCAUCACAUCCUGGGGCUGAAGUAGGUCCCAAGGGUAUGGCUGUUCGCCAUUUAAAGUGGUACGCGAGCUGGGUUUAGAACGUCGUGAGACAGUUCGGUCCCUAUCUGCCGUGGGCGUUGGAAGAUUGAGAGGGGUUGCUCCUAGUACGAGAGGACCGGAGUGAACGCACCACUGGUGUUCGGGUUGUCAUGCCAAUGGCAUUGCCCGGUAGCUAAGUGCGGAAAAGAUAAGCGCUGAAAGCAUCUAAGCGCGAAACUUGCCUCAAGAUGAGUCUUCCCUGGGCCUUUAAGGCCCCUGAAGGAACGUUUAAGACUAAGACGUUGAUAGGCUGGGUGUGUAAGUGCAGCGAUGCAUUGAGCUAACCAGUACUAAUGAUCCGUGAGGCUUAACCUUACAACACCGAAGGUGUUUUAG